ensembl:lncRNA
CAAACUUCAAUGACUUUAAAGUACAAAAGUGUUCCAAGGGCUAAAACUCAUAUGGAUAAAACAAUGUUUUUGCAUUUUAGAAGCUAAAAGCUUGCUAGCAGGCAAGUGGCAAAUUGGAACACAAGUGUGUGGUGUGCUUGGCUUUUGAUUAACAGUGUAUUAACUGCCCAUUAACGGCACAAAGGCUCACGGAAAGAGCCUCCAUUGCCUCACAAUCACUUUGAUGUCAGUCAGCAAUUAUUCCACUGUUACAGACCAUUGAGAAGAGUGCAGUGCAUGUGUUUACUUAACAGUUCAAUGCUUUGUGAUGCAAGAGACCCUCGUUGAGUCCCAUGUGCACUUAACUAACUGUGACGGGACGAGCCAACGACAGACACAGUGGGCGUGGCGUCAGGCCUCGGAGAGGUUUUUAUUUAACAGAAAAACCAAACAAAAAGGGGGAAUAAAGUGUCCAAAAGGGGAAGAGUGUCCAAAACAACAGGGAAUCUGGCAGUGUUCAUGGAGGAAGGGUCCAGGUAAGGGGCGGAGUCCGGCGGCCGCACGCGCUCCCCUCUUCGGUCCGGGGCGCGAGGGGCGGCGGCUUCUUCUAGCGGCUUCAUCCUCCUCGCUGGCCGCGGCGCUUGCAGGGGAUGGACGGCCCGGCAUCCUGGCCCGACGGCCGUGUAGACGGGUGCGGUUCUCGACCGGACCGCGGGUCCGGCAGCUCACGUCUCUGGUGGCGCGGGAGUCCCUCAACGCACCCUUCCUGGACCCACGAGGACACCAGUGUGCAUGCACGGGGAAGAGACCGGUCUCCCGAGGAGAGGCGCGUUGGGCUUUUAAACAGCGGCGGUGAUGAGGCUCCAUUUCCUUCAGGUGUGCCCCAUCACACGCCGCCAGCCCUGACUCGUCCAGCGCCCCUCCUCUUUCACACACCCACUCCUAUCGGGAGCCUGGUGAAGGGCGGCGAUUUAGGACAGGGUGCCGGUGAUUAUCAGGGAGGAGGCAGCUGACUCGCCACAUAACCAACAACAAAAAGUAAAUAAGCUCUGUGACAAAGUGCGUCAUUCAGUAAAUACUAGCAAAACAUAUAUUUAGCUAAAUUCUAAAAGAUUCUAAGGUUUGAUCACAUUAGCAUGAUUUCGGUGAAAUUUUCUUGACUAUAUUAUCAACAGUGCAGUUAUGUAAAGCCUGG